UACGAAGGGUGCAAGCGUUACUCGGAAUUACUGGGCGUAAAGCGUGCGUAGGUGGUUUGUUAAGUCUGUUGUGAAAGCCCCGGGCUCAACCUGGGAAUGGCAAUGGAUACUGGCAAGCUAGAGUGCGGUAGAGGGUAGUGGAAUUCCCGGUGUAGCGGUGAAAUGCGUAGAGAUCGGGAGGAACACCAGUGGCGAAGGCGGCUGCCUGGACCAGCACUGACACUGAGGCACGAAAGCGUGGGGAGCAAACAGG
rnacentral:rRNA from 1 species